GUUUCAGCCGCCGCGGUAAUACAGAGGUCCCAAGCGUUGUUCGGAUUCACUGGGCGUAAAGGGUGCGUAGGUGGUCGGGUAAGUUCCAUGUGAAAUGCCACGGCUUAACCGUGGAACGGCAUGGGAUACUAUCCGGCUAGAGGAUUGGAGGGGGGACUGGAAUUCUCGGUGUAGCAGUGAAAUGCGUAGAUAUCGAGAGGAACACCUGUGGCGAAGGCGGGUCCCUGGACAAUUCCUGACACUGAGGCACGAAAGCUAGGGGAGCAAACAGGAUUAGAUACCCCGGUAGUCC
rnacentral:rRNA from 1 species